rnacentral:rRNA from 1 species
AACGAACGCUGGCGGCAUGCCUAACACAUGCAAGUCGAACGAGACCUUCGGGUCUAGUGGCGCACGGGUGCGUAACGCGUGGGAACCUGCCCUUAGGUUCGGAAUAACUCCCCGACAGGGGUGCUAAUACCGGAUAAUGUCUUCGGACCAAAGAUUUAUCGCCUUUGGAUGGGCCCGCGUUGGAUUAGCUAGUUGGUAGGGUAAAAGCCUACCAAGGCGACGAUCCAUAGCUGGUCUGAGAGGAUGAUCAGCCACACUGGGACUGAGACACGGCCCAGACUCCUACGGGAGGGAGCAGUGGGGAAUAUUGGACAAUGGGCGAAAGCCUGAUCCAGCAAGGCCGCGUGAGUGAUGAAGGCCUUAGGGUUGUAAAGCGCUUUUACCCGGGAUGAUAAUGACGGUACCGGGAGAAUAAGCUCCGGCUAACUCCGU